UACGUAGGUGGCGAGCGUUGUCCGGAUUUACUGGGCGUAAAGGGAACGCAGGCGGUCUUUUAAGUCUGAUGUGAAAGCCUUCGGCUUAACCGCAGUAGUGCAUUGGAGACUGGAAGACUUGAGUGCAGAAGAGGAGAGUGGAACUCCAUGUGUAGCGGUGAAAUGCGUAGAUAUAUGGAAGAACACCAGUGGCGAAGGCGGCUCUCUGGUCUGUAACUGACGCUGAGGUUCGAAAGCGUGGGUAGCAAACAGG
rnacentral:rRNA from 1 species